rnacentral:rRNA from 1 species
CCUACGGGGGGCUGCAGUGAGGAAUAUUGGUCAAUGGGCGGGAGCCUGAACCAGCCAAGUCGCGUGAGGGAAGAAGGCACUGUGUAUUGUAAACCUCUUUUGCCAGGGGACAAAGGCGGCCACGGGUGGCCGUAAGAGGGUACCUGGAGAAAAAGCAUCGGCUAACUCCGUGCCAGCAGCCGCGGUAAUACGGAGGAUGCGAGCGUUAUCCGGAUUUAUUGGGUUUAAAGGGUGCGCAGGCGGGCUGUAAAGUCAGCGGUAAAAUGGCGGGGCUCAACCCCGUCCGGCCGUUGAAACUGGCGGGCUUGAGUGGGCGAGAAGUAUGCGGAAUGCGUGGUGUAGCGGUGAAAUGCAUAGAUAUCACGAAGAACCCCGAUUGCGAAGGCAGCAUACCGGCUCCACACUGACGCUGAGGCACGAAAGCGUGGGUAUCGAACAGGAUUAGAUACCCUAGUAGUC